AAACAUUGGCGAAUUAAAGUGAUUUUCCUACCGUAGCCAUAUUUUACUAUACCGAUCACAUCCUAUUUCAUGAGAUUUUUGAAAAUUUUGCUUCCUCUAUAUAGUUGGCUCACAAAGUUGUACACUAGCAUAUAACCUACCAAACAAGUUAUACCACAUUAGUAGGCACGUUAUAAUUCCGAUGACUAAAAUUCACAAAAUAAAAAUUGACCGUAUGAUGUGAUCAUUAUAGUGAAACAUGGCUAUGAUAUAAAAUUCAACUGGAUUCAACAAUGUUCGUGGCUCGAUCAAAGCGGUCAACCCUAAUUUAUUUUCACUUCUCACACGAAAACUAUCUUACCUACCUCUUCGUGACCUAGUUUGGUGGAUUCUUCAAAACAACAAAGUGUCACAUAGAUGAGACAUAACCACCCAUGUAAAACUUUGGGGCCGUUUACCACCCGAGGAUAGGGCUCUCCUUAGUGAAGCAUAAGCGUAAAUAGGGUUGACCGCUUCGAUCGGGGACUAAACAUUGGCGAAUUAAAGUGAUUUUUCCACCGUAGCUGUAUUUUACUAUAUCGAUCACAUCAUAUUUCACGAGAUUUUUAAAAAUUUUGCUUCCUCUAUAUAGUUGGUUCACAAAACUAUCUUACCUACCUCUUUGUGACCUAGUUUGGUGGAUUCUUCAACACAACAAAGUGUCACAUAGAUGAGACAUAACCACCCAUGUAAAACUUUGGGGCCGUUUAUCACCCGAGGAUAGGGCUCUCCUUAGUGAAGUAUAAGCGUAAAUAGGGUUGACCGCUUCGAUCGGGACCUAAACAUUGGCGAAUUAAAGUGAUUUUUCCAUCGUAGCUGUAUUUUACUAUAUCGAUCACAUCAUAUUUCACGAGAUUUUUAAAAAUUUUGCUUCCUCUAUAUAGUUGGUUCACAAAGUUGUACACUAGCAUAUAACAUAUCAAACAAAUUAUAAUACUUUAGUAGGCAUGUUAUGAUUUCGAUGACUAAAAUUCACAAAAUGAAAAUUAACCGUAUGAUGUGAUCAUUAUAGUGAAACAUGGCUAUGGUAUAAAAUUCAACUGGAUUCAACAAUGUUCGGGGCUCGAUCAAAGCGGUCAACCCUAAUUCAUAUUCACUUAUCACACGAAAACUAUCUUACCUACCUCUUUGUGACCUAGUUUGGUGGAUUCUUCAACACAAUAAAGUCUCACAUAAAUGAGAUAUAACCACCCAUGUAAAACUUUGGGGACGUUUACCACCCAAGGAUAGGGCUCUCCUUAGUGACGCAUAAACGUAAAUAGUGUUGACCGUUUCGAUCGGGGCCAAAAAUUUGGUAAAUUAAAGUGAUUUUUCUACCGUAGCCAUAUUUUACUAUACCGAUCACAUCCUAUUUAACAAGAUUUUUGAAAAUUUUGCUUCCUCCAUAUAGUUGGUUCACAAAGUUGUACACUAGCAUAUAAUCUACCAAACAAGUUAUACCACAUUAGUAGGUGCGUUGUGAUUCAAAUUACUAAAAUUCAGACGCAGUUGUGAAGUGGGUCCCGCCUGUGGUCCGUGACA
rnacentral:lncRNA from 1 species